GUGCUUAUUUCAAAAGCACAUAUACUCAAAUUGGAAAGAUACAGAGAAAAUUAACACGACCCCUGCUAAAGGAUGACACACAAAUUUGUGAAGUGUUCCAUAUUUUU
ensembl:snRNA U6 U6 spliceosomal RNA